rnacentral:rRNA from 2 species
UAACUGGAGGGAAGGUGGGGAUGACGUCAAAUCAUCAUGCCCCUUAUGACCUGGGCUACACACGUGCUACAAUGGACGGUACAACGAGUCGCGAAGUCGUGAGGCUAAGCUAAUCUCUUAAAGCCGUUCUCAGUUCGGAUUGUAGGCUGCAACUCGCCUACAUGAAGUUGGAAUCGCUAGUAAUCGCGGAUCAGCAUGCCGCGGUGAAUACGUUCCCGGGCCUUGUACACACCGCCCGUCACACCAUGAGAGUUUGUAACACCCAAAGCCGGUGAGAUAACCUUCGGGAGUCAGCCGUCUAAGGUGGGACAGAUGACUAGGGUGAAGUACGAAGUAGAGCGGUGCGUAA